rnacentral:rRNA from 1 species
UACGUAGGGGGCUAGCGUUGUCCGGAAUCAUUGGGCGUAAAGCGCGCGUAGGCGGCCAGAUAAGUCCGGUGUGAAAGUCAAAGGCUCAACCUUUGAAUGCCGCUGGAAACUGUCUGGCUAGAGUCCGGAAGAGGAGAGUGGAAUUCCUGGUGUAGCGGUGAAAUGCGCAGAUAUCAGGAAGAACACCCGUGGCUAAGGCGGCUCUCUAGUACGGUACUGACGCUGAGACGCGAAAGUGUGGGGAGCGAACAGG